rnacentral:rRNA from 1 species
GACGAACGCUGGCGGCGUGCUUAACACAUGCAAGUCGAACGGAAAGGCCCCUUUCGGGGUACUCGAGUGGCGCACGGGUGCGUAACACGUGCGUAACCUGCCCUUGACUUCGGGAUAACUUCAGGAAACUGGGGCUAAUACCGGAUAGGAAUCCUUGCUGCAUGGUGGGGGUUGGAAAGCUUCGGCGGGUUUGGAUGGACUCGCUGCUUAUCAGCUUGCUGGUGGGGUAGUGGCUUACCAAGGCGUUGACGGGUAGCCGGCCUGAGAGGGCGACCGGCCACAUUGGGACUGAGAUACGGCCCAGACUCCGACGGGAGGCAGCAGUGGGGAAUAUUGCACAAUGGGCGGAAGCCUGAUGCAGCAACGCCGCGUGCGGGAUGACGGCCUUCGGGUUGUAAACCGAUUUCAGCAGGGGCGAAGCUUGUGGUGACGGUACCUGCAGAAGAAGCACCGGCUAACUACGUG